rnacentral:rRNA from 1 species
UUGGAGGGCAAGUCUGGUGCCAGCAGCCGCGGUAAUUCCAGCUCCAAUAGCGUAUAUUAAAGUUGUUGCCGUUAAAAAGCUCGUAGUUGAAUUUUGGAUUCGGCCAAUUGGUCCAUCUUUUAGAAUGAGUACUGGUUGUGUUGGGUCUAUCCGCCUGGUGAUACGUAAUGUCCUUUAUUGGGUGUUGCGGGUAGUCAGGACCUUUACCUUGAAAAAAUUAGAGUGUUUAAAGCAGGCUUAUGCCGGAAUACAUUAGCAUGGAAUAAUAGAAUAGGACGAAGUUGUUUUAUUUUGUUGGUUUCUAGGACAACCGUAAUGAUUAAUAGGGAUAGUUGGGGGCAUUAGUAUUCAAUUGUCAGAGGUGAAAUUCUUGGAUUUAUUGAAGACUAACUACUGCGAAAGCAUUUGCCAAGGAUGUUUUCAUUAAUCAAGAACGAAAGUUAGGGGAUCGAAGACGAUCAGAUACCGUCGUAGUCUUAACCAUAAACUAUGCCGACUAGGGAUCGGGCGAUGUUGUUUCCAUGACUCGCUCGGCACCUUAUGGGAAACCAAAGUGUUUGGGUUC